rnacentral:rRNA from 1 species
GAGACUAUAAGUCUCCUGAAGGAACGUUGAAGACGACGACGUUGAUAGGUCGGGUGUGUAAGCGCAGCGAUGCGUUGAGCUAACCGAUACUAAUGAACCGUGAGGCUUAACCUU